AUUGAACGCUGGCGGCAUGCCUUACACAUGCAAGUCGAACGGCAGCACGGGAGCAAUCCUGGUGGCGAGUGGCGAACGGGUGAGUAAUAUAUCGGAACGUGCCCGGUCGUGGGGGAUAACGUAGCGAAAGCUACGCUAAUACCGCAUACGAUCUACGGAUGAAAGCGGGGGAUCGCAAGACCUCGCGCGAUUGGAGCGGCCGAUAUCAGAUUAGGUAGUUGGUGAGGUAAAGGCUCACCAAGCCGACGAUCUGUAGCUGGUCUGAGAGGACGACCAGCCACACUGGGACUGAGACACGGCCCAGACUCCUACGGGAGGCAGCAGUGGGGAAUUUUGGACAAUGGGCGCAAGCCUGAUCCAGCAAUGCCGCGUGCAGGAUGAAGGCCUUCGGUUGUAACUAGCUUUG
rnacentral:rRNA from 1 species